GUUGUGUUCUCUCAGUGCCACCAGAGGGAGCACAGGCGACUAACGUGCCCCGUCUCCAGGGUGGGCGCCCUAGGAUGCUCACACUCCACCUGGAAGGGUGUAACGUGCCUCUGUCUCAGCAGCUGUGCUGGAAACACGCAGAGUGAGCCUGGAAGGAACUAGGUCAUGACUGCAGAAGAGCGGCGUCCUGUCGGAGUGUGCUCUGGAGCAGAUUUUGGGAACAAAGUGCCUGCAUGAGUCAAGGCCAGGAAACCACAUUUCUGCCAAGCAACCAGGUGAUCUAACAUGGCUGGGCUACUGCACUCUCUUUGAGUGACUCCCAGAAUACCUGAGACUGGGUCAUUUGUAAAGAAGAGAAAUUUAUUUCUCACAGUUCUCAAGGCUGGGAAGUUGAAGAUCAAGGCACUGGAAGGUGUGAUGUCUGGUUUCAAGAUGGUGCCUUGUUACUGGGUGCUGCGGAGAUGAGGAAUACUCUUGCUCAACUGGCAGAAGAGAGAGAGCCCACUUCACAAAUCCUUUUUAUAGCAGCAUUGAUCCAGCCACGAGAUUAAAGAGGGCAGAGCCCCUAUACUUACACACCUCCUCUCAGGCCCCACCUCCCAACACUGCUACAUUGGG
rnacentral:lncRNA from 1 species